UACGUAGGGGGCUAGCGUUGUCCGGAAUCAUUGGGCGUAAAGAGCGUGUAGGCGGUCCGGUAAGUCCGUUGUGAAAGUCAGGGGCUCAACCCUUGAAUGCCGGCGGAUACUGUCGGGCUAGAGUCCGGAAGAGGCAAGUGGAAUUCCCGGUGUAGCGGUGAAAUGCGCAGAUAUCGGGAGGAACACCAAUGGCGAAGGCAGCUCGCUGGGACGGUACUGACGCUGAGACGCGAAAGCGUGGGGAGCAAACAGG
rnacentral:rRNA from 1 species